rnacentral:rRNA from 1 species
GACGAACGCUGGCGGCGUGCUUAACACAUGCAAGUCGAACGGUAAGGCCCUUCGGGGUACACGAGUGGCGAACGGGUGAGUAACACGUGGGUGAUCUGCCCUGCACUUCGGGAUAAGCCUGGGAAACUGGGCCUAAUACCGGAUAGGACCACUGCCUGCAUGGGUGGUGGUGGAAAGCUUUUGCGGUGUGGGAUGGGCCCGCGGCCUAUCAGCUUGUUGGUGGGGUGAUGGCCUACCAAGGCGACGACGGGUAGCCGGCCUGAGAGGGUGACCGGCCACACUGGGACUGAGAUACGGCCCAGACUCCUACGGGAGGCAGCAGUGGGGAAUAUUGCACAAUGGGCGCAAGCCUGAUGCAGCGACGCCGCGUGAGGGAUGACGGCCUUCGGGUUGUAAUCCUCUUUCAGCACCGACGAAGCGCAAGUGACGGUAGGUGCAGAAGAAGGACCGGCCAACUACGUGCCAGCCGCCGCAGUAA